rnacentral:snRNA from 1 species
CCGCAUGCUGUUAUUUUCCAAGU